rnacentral:rRNA from 1 species
UACCGAGUUAUCAACUCCCAAACCCCUGUGAACAUACCACAACGUUGCCUCGGCGGGACCGCCCCGGCGCCCUCGGCGGCCCGGAACCAGGCGCCCGCCGGAGGACCCAAACUCUUGCUUUGAACAGUGGCAUACUCUCUGAGUCUCACAAACAAAAAAUGAAUCAAAACUUUCAACAACGGAUCUCUUGGCUCUGGCAUCGAUGAAGAACGCAGCGAAAUGCGAUAAGUAAUGUGAAUUGCAGAAUUCAGUGAAUCAUCGAAUCUUUGAACGCACAUUGCGCCCGCCAGCAUUCUGGCGGGCAUGCCUGUCCGAGCGUCAUUUCAACCCUCAGGGAGCCCCCUCGCGGGAGGACCUGGUGUUGGGGGCCGGCCGCCCGCGCCGCCCCCGAAAUGCAGUGGCGACCUCGCCGCAGCCUCCCCUGCGUAGUAGCACAACCUCGCACCGGAGCGCGGAGACGGUCACGCCGUAAAACGCCCAACUUUCAAGAGUUGACCUCGGAUCAGGUAGGAAUACCCGCUGAACUUAAGCAUAUCAAUAAGCGGAGGAAAAGAAACCAACAGGGAUUGCCCCAGUAACGGCGAGUGAAGCGGCAACAGCUCAAAUUUGAAAUCUGGCCCCCAGGGCCCGAGUUGUAAUUUGCAGAGGAUGCUUUUGGCGCGGUGCCUUCCGAGUUCCCUGGAACGGGACGCCAUAGAGGGUGAGAGCUCCCGUCUGGUCGGACACCAAGCCAGUGUAAAGCUCCUUCGACGAGUCGAGUAGUUUGGGGAAUGCUGCUCUAAAUGGGGGUAUAUGUCUUCUAAAGCUAAAUACC